AGCUGCUGGUGCUGCAAGAUGAGGUCCCUGAAGUUUUCACUGCCGCUGAGCCCGGAACUCAUUGCUAACACAGCCUUCCCCACUGCAGAGAGAAAUCCCACUGUGUCUCUAUUCCUCUGUGAUACCACUUUUUUCUUUUCUUUUUUUUGAGACUGGGUCUCACUAUGUAGUUCAGGCUGGCCCUGAACUCAAAGGAUCCUUCUGCUGCCUCAGCCUCCUGAGACUGGGAUUACAGGGGUACAGCACCAUACCCAACUGUGAUCCGACUUCAACUCAAGUCUGAAUGACAGUCUGAUUGAUCGUGUACCUGUGACCCAGCUGCAAGAAGUCUAGGAAGGCAAAUACCUGGCAUUUCUGAAACACGUUUUGCUUCUCCAAAGAUUCUGAAAUGGAAAAUUUCUCCAAACAUGGAAGAGACACAGCCAGGUGUGGUGACGCACACCUGUAAUGCCAACUGCUCAGGAGAGUCACAAUUUGAAGCCAAUCUGGGCAACUUUGUGAGACUCUGUUUCAAAAUAAAAAAGGACUGGAGAUGUAUUUCAGUGGUAUCAAACUCAGGACCUUGAGCUUGCCAGGCAGGCGGCACAGCACUGUUGAGCUACAUCCCAGGACCCCACAUUUAUUUUCACUUUCAGGAGCAGAGGGAUCCUAAAAGCUGGAUCUGUAGCUGCAACACCUUUGUCCACAGCUGUCUUCUCACUGUGUUUUGUUGCUGUACUGGGAAUUGAACCAGGGCCACCACCGCUGGGCGAAUACUCUAUCACUGAGGUAUAUCCAUAGC
rnacentral:lncRNA from 1 species